CAACAAAGUAAAACCGCCUUUAAUUAAAUUCCUACAUAAAACAACAUUUCUAUGCAAAACAACUGUUUAGUCAAAAGGAAAUAUAUACGUUUAAUUCUCUUUCAAAUGUCAACAGGAAUUGAGAGCUACCAGUGUUCCUUGGAGAACAAGCAGUAAAGUCUAUCUUGCUGAUGUUCAGAAACAGUAUGUUACAUCUCUUAACCAGCAGUUCCCUAUUGCACGUAACAAAUCUGCUCUCCAUUUAAGCACCUAAAAGCCUGGUACCUCACUAAAUAAAUUAAAACAUCCAGUUUCUUCAGCAACCAUCUUCAACAUAUAUAUCUUGGCAAAGCAACAUUACUGCAAGCCUUUAAUAAAUACAGAAAGAAAAGAUGAAUGACUUCUCAUUGGUGUUUUAGGGAACAAUCUUUCCCCAUAAACACUUGCUUUUCCAAACACUUGGGGUUUUUGGUAUAUAUGCUCUGAAAAAACACUAUGUAUAGUAUAUUUGAUGAAAAUUUUCCAUACUUGAGUCAAUACAUUUGCAUGGCACAACUAAUCUGAGAUACGAAUUUCAGUGUAAGGCUAUAAGGAGCUUCUUGCUGAACCUGAAGUUAAUGUGCAUGGUAAGGAGUUGAAAGCAAAGCCCCAGAGGCCGAAUGGGAGACUAUUACCAAUGAGGGUCCCCUGGGCAUGUCUGGCCUUACUUUCCCCUUACAGAAGGGCUUCGUUCGUGUAUGUUAUGUCAAAGGAACAAGAUCGUGCAACCCUGAACAUCUGGAUAUCGCAUCAUUUCCAGAGGACUCCCCCUGCCCGCCUCCCCAUCUUACCAAUAUCUACUCUUCUUUCGGCAGCAGUAUAAGACAUUAAGCAGCUCCCUGUAGUACAAUGAUACUGUGGUUGCUAUUUACAGUAGAAUUAAUGCAUCUGUGCCAGUAAGGCAGAGUUCAUAUGAAAAAUAUACACAGUAUGGUCAAUUUUAGCCAGAUUAGAAUAUAUAUAAAAAAAUUUUCUCUUCAAGUCCCAACUUUAAACAAAGAACGAUUCUGUCAGAGGUCUCCAAACCUCCUGAGGCUGUUAGAGCACAUUACCCUAACAUAUAAAAACAAA
rnacentral:lncRNA from 1 species